UACAGAGGUCUCAAGCGUUGUUCGGAUUCAUUGGGCGUAAAGGGUGCGUAGGCGGCGCGGUAAGUCGGGUGUGAAAUCUUGGAGCUUAACUCCGAAACUGCAUUCGAUACUGCCGUGCUUGAGGACUGGAGAGGAGACUGGAAUUCUCGGUGUAGCGGUGAAAUGCGUAGAUAUCGAGAGGAACACCUGCGGCGAAGGCGGGUUGCUGGGCCGACACUGACGCUGAAGCGCGAAAGCUAGGGGAGCGAACGGG
rnacentral:rRNA from 1 species